rnacentral:rRNA from 1 species
GACGAACGCUGGCGGCGUGCUUAACACAUGCAAGUCGAACGGAAAGGCCCUGCUUGCAGGGUACGCGAGUGGCGAAAGGGUGAGUAAAACGUGGGUGUUCUGCCCUGCACUUCGGGAUAAGCCUGGGAAACUGGGUCUAAUACAGGAUAGGAGACAUCUUGCGUGUGAUGGGUGGAAAGUUUUUUCGGUGUAGGAUGAGAUCGCGGCCUAUCUGCUUGGUGGUGGGGUAAUGGCCUACCAAGGCGGCCGCGGGUAGGCGGCCUGAGAGGGUGGACGGCCACAUUUGGGCUGGGAUACGGGCCAGGCUCCGACGGGGGGCAGCAGUGGGGAAAAUUGGACAAAGGGCGGAAGCCUGAAGCAGCGACGCCGCGGGGGGGAUGACGGCCUUCGGGUUUGUAACUCGUUUCGCUAUGUACGAAAGUGUUUGUGACGGUACUGAGUUAAGAAGCACCGGCUAACUACGUG